rnacentral:rRNA from 1 species
AGGUAGGUAAUAUCCGACAUCCACACCCGGUUGAGCUCACCAGUAUCAAACAUGCGCUUGACCAGGUCAGGAAGACUCGACUUACGCUUGGCUUGGAUUGUAGUCACCGGGACAAAGGCACGCGGUGAAAUCCCUUCAAUGCCCAUCAUGCGCAUCCGCUUCGCCACAGUCUUACGGUUAAGCGAAAUGCGGUAGCGCUCGGCGAGCUCUGCGGUGAUCCGCGGAGCACCAUAAACCUCAUCAGAGUCUUUCCAAAUCUGAUGAAUCUUACGGUCAACAUCAUCGUAAAAUGCUGCCCGAUCAUCCUUUCCGGAUAGUCGUUUCUGCUGCACAUGGGCCCAUUUGUAGUAUCCAGACCGAGAUACUUUUAAUAGUCGUGCCAUGCGCUUGAUGCUGUAGUUCGCCUUCUCCUGCUGCAUUAGUUCGAACUUUUCUGCUCGCGUUGCUUCGCGGCGAAGAAGGCUGUCGCUUUUGACAAAAACUCGUUAUCCAUCUUGGCUUCCGCCAACUCACGGCGCAGACGAGCAUUCUCAGCACGAAGAUCAGCCUCACUCAUCCCAUCCGAGGCUCCUCGGCGUUCACGCUCUAGUUUGACCCACCGGCCUAAAAGCCCGGCGGAAACACCAAUCUCUUUAGCCACAUGGGCAAUCGGGCGCUCUGACUCGAUUACCAGGUUCGCGGCUUCACGCCGGUACUCAGGCGUGUACUUCUUGCGCUGUUGACUCACAAUGAACAUCCUCUCUUACGGACACAAGAUCCGUACAAAUAGGGUGUCCACUAAACGAGGGUAACCUCACCGCACAAGCGGCGGAGCAUGUGGAUUAAUUCGAUGCAACGCGAAGAACCUUACCUGGGCUUGACAUACACCAGAUUGCUGCAGAGAUGUAGUGUCCCUUGUGGUUGGUGUACAGGUGGUGCAUGGUUGUCGUCAGCUCGUGUCGUGAGAUGUUGGGUUAAGUCCCGCAACGAGCGCAACCCUUGUCUUAUGUUGCCAGCAUUUGGUUGGGGACUCAUGAGAGACUGCCGGGGUUAACUCGGAGGAAGGUGGGGAUGACGUCAAAUCAUCAUGCCCCUUAUGUCCAGGGCUUCACACAUGCUACAAUGGUCGGUACAACGCGCAGCGACACUGUGAGGUGGAGCGAAUCGCUGAAAGCCGGCCUUAGUUCGGAUUGGGGUCUGCAACUCGACCCCAUGAAGUCGGAGUCGCUAGUAAUCGCAGAUCAGCAACGCUGCGGUGAAUACGUUCCCGGGCCUUGUACACACCGCCCGUCACGUCAUGAAAGUUGGUAACACCCGAAGCCAGUGGCCUAA